CUUAUAGAUUUUUAUUAUAAGUAAAACCUGCUCAAUGAUAAAUUUAAUAGCCGCAAUUUUGUGCUAAGGUAGCAUAAUCAUUUGUUUUUUAAUUUAAAACUAGAAUGAAAGGUUUAACAUUUAAAUUUCUAUAUUUUUUUUAUUUUAUAAAAUUAUACUAAAUAUAAAAAUAUAUUUAUUAUUUAAUUAGACGACAAGACCCUAUUGAACUUUACUUAUGUUUAGCUGGGGCAGCUUUUAAAACAUUAUUUUUAUUUAUUUUCAAAAAAUUUUCCAAUAUAAUUGAUACUUAAUCAAGUUACCAUAGGGAUAACAGCGUAAUUUUUAUAUAAAGUUCUUAUUUUCAUAAAAGUUUGCGACCUCGAUGUUGAAUUAAGUUACUUUUUUUCGCAAUAGAAAUUUAAGUAGGUCUGUUCGACCUUUAAAAUUUUACA
rnacentral:rRNA from 1 species